GAGAUCUAACAUUUGAUUCUUGCAAGCGAAAGCUCCUAGUAUUACAGCCCGAUAAAACAUCAAUCAGCACCUGGCAAUGUUCCUUUCUUCUGCUGCAGCCCCUCCCUGAUCUGCAUUCCCUCCAGUGGAAACUGUGCACAAGCAUCUUAAAUGCAUCCACCAGGCUUCUCCCUGCAGGCAAAGGAUAGCUCUGAGGGCAGACACUGGAGCGUGACUGGUGUCACAGCCCAUCCUCGUCACACACCUGUCACUCUGCGUGUGACGGAGAAAAAAAGACAGGAGGAGUCCAGCAUGCUGAGAUGCCAAAGAAGAGCAUGUCAGGCUCGGUGCUGUAGGCAUUGGGAGAGGGUGGAGGUCUGUGCUUGUGUCCUUGAGAGGAGGUUGCAGUGAAGAGGAGAGUUACCUGAGGACUGCAGCAAGUUGUCUUUACCUGGCCAGGAAUGCCAGGUAGCCCCAGACUGAGUCACUUUGCAUGGCAGAGCAUAUAAAAAACUGAAGGUUAUCACUAAUGGGAAUCUUGGCUAGAAAAACCAGCAGGAUCCCUCCAGCCUGUGCAUGAUUUCCACCCUCAAACAUUCUAAAGCCUAAAAGUGAAAAGCCCAGCCCAUCUGGCUUCUGUCCUACUUUCUCUUACUUAUAUUUUGACAAUGUUCAUAUUCUGAAUGCUUUGGUUGGUUUCUGCAGCCUUCCUUUGGCUAGAAUGUGCCACUAGUUAUUUUUCCUACUAUCUUAAUGAAGCACGUUUAAAGUGUGAAGGUCGAAUGCAGGAGGAAAGAAACGCAAAUGGAAGAAUAAAAGGGCAAUCACGCUUAUGAAUCA
rnacentral:lncRNA from 1 species